UGCCCGGAACAGGAUUGGCAGCGGGCUUGUGCGCCAAUGAAAAUUGGUGAGAAAUGCGUCUCGCGGCAGCUACUGACCAGCGAUGGCAAACGAGGCGGCACGAGGGAUUGAACAAGGCACGACGGGUGAUGCACUGAUGGACGCACUCCUCGGGGUUUCCGUAGUGUGGCCACUGUCGCAUCUGUGACAUUUGUUGUUCAGCCCGUACAACUAGGUAGCUUGACACCAAAUGUUGGAAAGAGAAUCUGCUUUGACGGCGUGACUUCGCUCGGGAUGCUUCAGCAGUGCACUGGUUAUCCCACGGUUUGAGGGGGAAGGGUCCCGCGGGUAUGGUCGUCAGAAGAAGCAAUUCGCUAACCGCGCGCAUUACCGGCAAUCGGGGAGCGCGACCUGAAGGGAAUGGAAGCACGCAACACCUCAUGCAAAUGACUGGCCGACGUGCGGCGCGAGAGUCCUUUCUGGCUCCAAACAACUGCACUACGUCUUCCCGAGUUUCGCGCGCAAAGGCGGUAGGAACAGAGUGUGGACGCGUACAAAGAGAAACAAACCAGGUGCCUCACGACGUGGACUAGACUGCGGUUCUUUGUUGGGAUGCCGCUGGAUGACGUCGGAAUGAGCAGGUUGAUAUUCGUAUUAACGGUCUCCACAUUGGCGAUGCAGCAACGCCUCUUCCGGUUUCACCGUGGGAUCAUGGCUUGGUGUUCACGGUUGUGUGGGUAGCAGGAAGUGCAUCAUGCGUUUAUUCGACGAACGGUGGGAAAGCAGUUUCAGCGUCGACUCAUGGUAUUUCGCAACUUCGAGGGGGUGGACCUAGGUUCACUAUGCUUUUGUCGGGAAUUGUGCAUCUCGAUACGUGUGAAGAUGUAGUCGGAAACAUGGCGAGCAAUCUGGACAAUGAUAAGUGGUGUCAAUGAGGCGAUCAGCGUUCCUUCGGGGGUAUGCUCUGCAUCGGGAGGUUUGAUGCGGUGGAGAGACACAACGGUGCUGAGAGCGUCGAUGCUGGCACAUGUCAGGGUCAUUUUUGCACGUCAACGGUGGUACAUGACUUGGCAACAACGUGACGUUCGUGUCUGAUGCGAGCCCAGCAGGCGCCCACACGACUGUCUAAGGCCUACUACUGAACGGUUCCGUGGCCAGCCAUCGACGGUGCCUCUUCGGAAGGAUGCCGCCGCUUCUGGGCCGUGGUUGUCGGCAUAUGCAGCAUGGGACCCUGACGUCCUGUGUGACCUCGGACCUCGGUGUUCGGCGAGCGGUUGAGAUCGGGUUUGUCACUGCGCUGCAUGCGCAUCGAUUGCUUUGUGCCGGUGUCUAGGCGCAGCUCGGAUGUGCCUGUGGCUGCGGUGAGGCUGCCAAGGAAGAACGUGUUGAAGGGAUAGAUUAUUGGCGGCUGUUCUAAGCAUUCUGAUAUGCAUGGCGUGACGGAUGCCUUGCGGAAUCUAGAGCGUGAAGCAGGCCAAACUGGUGAGC
rnacentral:lncRNA from 1 species